rnacentral:rRNA from 1 species
CAGUCGCCGCGGUAAUACAGAGGGUGCAAGCGUUAAUCGGAUUUACUGGGCGUAAAGCGUGCGUAGGCGGCUUUUUAAGUCGGUUGUGAAAUCCCUGAGCUUAACUUAGGAAUUGCAUUGGAUACUGGGAAGCUAGAGUAUGGGAGAGGAUGGUAGAAUUCCAGGUGUAGCGGUGAAAUGCGUAGAGAUCUGGAGGAAUACCGAUGGCGAAGGCAGCCAUCUGGCAUAAUACUGACGCUGAGGUACGAAAGCAUGGGGAGCAAACAGGAUUAGAUACCCGCGUAGUCCCUGUCUCUUAUAC